GUUGGUAGGCUUUUUAUUCCUGAUUCAAUUUUGGAAGCCAUUAUUGGUCUGUUCAGGGAUUCAGUUUCUUCCUGGUUCAAUCUUGGCAGGUUGUAUGUUUCCAGGAAUUUAUCCAUUUAUUCUAGAUUUUCUAGCUUAUGUUCAUAAAGUUGUUUGUAGUUGUCUCUGAGGGUUUUUGUAAUUCUGCACUGUCUGUGGUAACCUCCUUCUUGUCAUUUCUGAUUGUGUUUAUUUGGGUCUUCUCUUCUUUUAUAUAUUUGUCUAGCUAGCAGCCUAUUUAUCUAACUUACUCUUUCAAAAAACAAACUCAUGGACUUGAUCUUUUAUAUGGUUUUUGUGUGUCCCAACGUCCUUCAGUUCAGCUCUGAUUUUGGUUGUUUCUUGUCUUCCACUAGCUUUGGGGUUGGUUUGUUCUUGCUUCUCUAGUUCCACUAAUUGUGAUGUUAAGGUUGUUAAUUUGAGAUCUUUCUUCCUUUUCUAUUUGGGCAUGUAGUGUUUUACAUGUCCCUCUCCAUACUGCUUCAGCUGUGUCCUAGAGAUUCUGGUUCUGUCGUAUCUUUCUUGUCAUUACUUUCUCUUGAUUUCUGCCUUAAUUUCUGUGUUUACCCAAAAGUCAUUCAGGAGCAGGGAGCUUAAUUUUCAUGUAAUUGUGUGGUUUUGAGAAAUUUUGUUAGUAUUGGUUUCUAUUUUUUUUUCCACUGUGAUCUGAGAGUGUGGUUGGUAUGAUUUUGGUUUCUUUCAAUUUGCUGAGGAUUGUUUUAUAGCUGAUUGUGUGGUCGAUUGUAGAGCACAUACCAUGGGGCAAUAAGAAGAGUGUAUAUUCUGUUGUUUCAGGUGGAGAGUUCUGUAGAUGUCUAUUAGGUCUAUAUGGUCGAGUGUUGAGGUCAGAUCCUGAAUCUUUGUUCAGUUUUCUCCCUGAAUAUCUUUGUUAGUUUUCUCCCUGAAUAUCUUUGUUAGUUUUCUCCCUAGAUGAUCUAUCUAAUACUGUCAGUGGAUUGUUAAAAUCUCCCACUAUUAUUGUGCAGUCAUCUGAGUUUAUUUGUAGAUCUCUAUGAACUUGUUUUAGGAAUCUGGGUGGUCCUGUGUUGGGUGUAUAUAUAUUUAGGAUAAUUAUGUCCUCUUCUUGAAUUGAAUACUUUACCAUCAUGUAAUGCAUUUCUCUGUCUUUUAGAUAAUUGUUGGCUUAAAGUUUGUUUUGUCUGAAAUUAGAAUGGCAACCCUGCUUUUUUCUGUUACCAUUUGCUUGGUAGAUUUUUCUCCAUCGCUUUACUUUGUGCCUAUGUGUGUCCUCGCACAUGAAUAGUUCUCUUGAACACAGCAUAAAGUCGUGUUUUGCUUCUUUAUCCAACCUGCCACUCUGUGCCUUUUAACUGGGGCAUUUAAAAAGGUGUAUUAUUAUCUUGAAUACAUUCAAGAUAAUAUUAAUAUAUAUGGAUUUGAUUCUGUCUUCAGCUUUUUAGGUGGUUAUUAUGCAGACUGUGGUUGCUUUAUAGUGUCAAUGGUCUAUGUACAUAAAUGUGUUUUUUGUGGUGGCUGGUAACAGUUUUUCCCCUUCCAUAUUUUACAUUCCCUGAAAACCUCUCAUAAGGCAGGUCUUGUGCUAAAGAAUUCCUUUAGCAUUUUCUCAUCUGAAAAAGAUCUGAUUUCUCCUUUAUUUAUGAAGCUUAGCUUGUCUGGACAUGAAAUUCUUGGUUGAAAUUUAAUUCAUUUAUGAAUGCUGAAUAUAGACCCCCAGUUUCUUCUGACUUACAGGGUUUCUGGUGAAAGGUCCACUGUUAACCUGGUGGAGUUUCCUUUGUAGAUGACCUGCCCCUUCUCUCUAGCUGUCUUUAACGUUUUCUCUUUCCUUUUGAGCUUGGAGAACCUGAUGACUACGAGUCUUCAGUAUGAUAAUUUUGUAUAGUAUCUUGCAGGAGUUCUUUGCAUUUCCUGAAUUUAAAAGUUGGCCUGUCUAGUGAGGUUGGGGAAAUUUUCAUGAACAAUAUCCUGAAAUAUGUUUUCCAAGUAGCUUGCUUUCUCUCUGUCUCUUUCAGGGAUGUCAAUGAGUGAUAGAGUUGGUCUUUUUACCUAAUCCUAUAUUUCUCAGAGGUUUUGGUCAUUCUUUUUUAGUCUUUUUUUCUUUAUUUUUGUGUAAGUUAUUUCAGAGAACCAGUCUUAGAUCUCUAAGAUUCUUUCCUCAGCUUGAUCUUGUAUUCUGAAAUUCAUGAAGUGAUUUUUUUUUUCCUCUCUAUAAGAUCGGUUCAAUUCUUUCUUAAAAUGGCCAUUUCACCUUUCUUGUCCUGCAUCAUUUUAUUGUAUUCCUUAGAGACUUUGGAUUGGGUUUUGGCAUUCUCUGGAAUCUCAAUGAUCUUUGUUUCUGUUCAUAUUCUGGAUUCUAUUUCUGUCAUUUCAGCCUAGUUGAGAACCAUCACUGGGAAACUAGGGUGGCCAUUUGGAAGUAAGGAGAUACUCUGGCUUUUUGAGUUGCCAGAGUUCUUGUGCUUGUUCUUUUUCAUCUGUGUGGGUAUAUGUUCUUUCAGUCUUUUAAGUUGCUGUCUUUGGAUUUUUUUUUUCUCUUAUCUUCUUUGAUACCUUUAGGAGGUUGAUUGUUUUAUAAGAUGGGUUCAGUCAACUGGCUUCAUUUAUGAAACAUUUUAGGAGACCAAGUCUCAGCUCAACACCACUGGGAUUCGUACUUCCAUUGUGGGGAGUUGGUAUCGGGCCACUAGCUUUGUUCUCUGGACCCUUGAGGUUAGGAACCUGAUGCACUGGAGGGUCGAAGGUCUUUCUAGACUGCUGGACACAGCACACUGAUGGGUGGUGCCAGGCAAAGCACUUCUUUGGAGUGGUGGCAGUGGGAUCUGUGCUUGUUUAUUUGUGCUAGAAGCAGUGGUGGUAUAGCAAGGUGCAUGUUCCUUGGCUAAGGUGGGGUCACAGUGGGAGUGGUGGUGUUGCACUCCUGCAUGUGCUUACACUGGUGGUGGUGGUGGCAGGGGCAGGGCACUGGUAGACAAAGGACUGCUGGCUACCAAGCACAUGUUUGCACUGGCAAGGACAGCAUAGGGUGGGGUGUGGAGUGCACUCACACUGCCUGCAGUGGUAUGGCUGUGUGCGUGCACAUACAUACCUGCUAGUGGGGGAUGGGGCUGAGGUUCACCUGCCUGCAC
rnacentral:lncRNA from 1 species